UACGUAGGGUGCGAGCGUUAAUCGGAAUUACUGGGCAUAAAGCGUGCGCAGGCGGUUCGUUGUGUCUGCUGUGAAAUCCCCGGGCUCAACCUGGGAAUGGCAGUGGAAACUGGCGAGCUUGAGUGUGGCAGAGGGGGGUGGAAUUCCGCGUGUAGCAGUGAAAUGCGUAGAGAUGCGGAGGAACACCGAUGGCGAAGGCAACCCCCUGGGCUGACACUGACGCUCAGGCACGAAAGCGUGGGGAGCAAACAGG
rnacentral:rRNA from 1 species